rnacentral:rRNA from 1 species
CCUACGGGAGGCAGCAGUGGGGAAUAUUGGGCAAUGGGCGCAAGCCUGACCCAGCAACGCCGCGUGAAGGAAGAAGGCUUUCGGGUUGUAAACUUCCUUUAUGAGGGACGAAAGAAAUGACGGUACCUCAUGAAUAAGUCACGGCUAACUACGUGCCAGCAGACGCGGCAAUACGUAGGUGGCAAGCGUUAUCCGGAUUUACUGGGUGUAAAGGGUGUGUAGGCGGGACUGCAAGUCAGAUGUGAAAAUUAUGGGCUCAACCCAUAACCUGCAUUUGAAACUGUAGUUCUUGAGUGAUGGAGAGGCAGGCGGAAUGCCGUGUGUAGCGGUGAAAUGCGUAGAUAUACAGAGGAACACCGGUGGCGAAGGCAGCCUACUAAACAUUAACUGACGCUGAGGCGCGAAAGCGUGGGGAGCAAACAGGAUUAGAUACCCGUGUAGUC